rnacentral:rRNA from 1 species
GCGUGCUAUACUGCAAGUCGCACGCACAGCGAAAGGUGCUUGCACCUUUCAAGUGAGUGGCGAACGGGUGAGUAACACGUGGACAACCUGCCUCAAGGCUGGGGAUAACAUUUGGAAACAGAUGCUAAUACCGAAUAAAACUUAGUGUCGCAUGACACAAAGUUAAAAGGCGCUUUGGCGUCACCUAGAGAUGGAUCCGCGGUGCAUUAGUUAGUUGGUGGGGUAAAGGCCUACCAAGACAAUGAUGCAUAGCCGAGUUGAGAGACUGAUCGGCCACAUUGGGACUGACACACGGCCCAAACUCCUAGGGGAGGCUGCAGUAGGGAAUCUUCCACAAUGGGCGAAAGCCUGAUGGAGCAACGCCGCGUGUGUGAUGAAGGCUUUCGGGUCGUAAAGCACUGUUGUAUGGGAAGAACAGCUAGAAUAGGGAAUGAUUUUAGUUUGACGGAACCAUACCAGAAAGGGACGGCUAAAUACGUGCCAGCAACCGCGGUAAUACGUAUGUCCCGAGCGUUAUCCGGAUUUAUUGGGCGUAAAGCGAGCGCAGACGGUUGAUUUCCUCUGAUGUGAAACCCCGGAGCUCAACUCCCGAAGGGGAUUACAAACUGGUUUACUUUCGUGCAGUAGAGGUGGGUGCAACUCCAUGUGUAGCGGUGGACUGCGACGAUGUGUGGAACAAC